AUAUCAGCGUGAACGCGCUCAAUCAACGAGCACAUCCCCCUCAGUGUGUCCGCUCCUGCAGCGUCUGUCUCCGGGUAACUUUUCUAACGCUCCCACGUUAACGGAACAAAACACCAAACUUCCACAAAGACUUUCUUCCAUCUUUAAUUUUUUUAUACAAGCGUCCAUUGGAGGAGGAGGAAGUUGCGGGUGUGUGAUGGGUUAACGGCGGAAGGCCUCACCUGUAGUGCGCGUCACCCGUGGUCCCGCCGCCAUCCCUGAGGAGCAGUUGCCGCCGCUAGACGCGCCUCCCCGGCUCGGUCACAUCCUCCCGCCCCGCCGCUCCAUCACCACCACCACCUCCACCACCACCACCGCCGCCGCUCUCACCCAGAGGAAGACCGGAGGAACAGGAGCGGAACACGGGGAACCAUGAAGGACCGCAUGCAAGAACUUCGACACGGGAAGGAGACGACAGAGGAAGAGGAUGAAGUCGCCGUGGGAAUGGAGAAAGGCUUUAUGGACGAAUUCUUUGAACAGGUGGAAGAAAUCCGGGGUUUUAUCGAGUCUCUGGCAGAGAAAGUUGAAGAGGUCAAGAGGAAGCACAGCGCCAUCCUCGCCUCACCUAACCCUGAUGAGAAAACUAAGGCUGAUCUGGAGGAUUUAAUGGCUGACAUCAAGAAGUUGGCCAACAAAGUACGAUCCAAAUUAAAGAGUAUCCAGCAAACCAUCGAGCAAGAGGAAGGACAGAACAGGUCAUCAGCUGACCUGAGGAUACGUAAAACACAGCACUCCACACUGUCCCGCAAGUUUGUCGAGGUGAUGUCCGAAUACAACACCACGCAGUCGGACUACAGGGAGCGCUGCAAGGGACGCAUCCAGAGGCAGCUGGAGAUCACUGGGAGAAAUACAACCAACGAGGAGCUGGAGAGCAUGUUGGAGAGUGACAACCCAGCUAUCUUCACUUCAGGGAUCAUUAUGGACAACAUCACGCAGCAAGCGAUGAACGAGAUCGAGACGCGGCACACUGAGAUCAUCAAGUUGGAGAACAGUAUUAGAGAGCUUCACGACAUGUUCAUGGAUAUGGCCAUGCUGGUGGAGAGUCAGCCUUGCUCUCUCUGUCUUCGACGCUCUCUAUUGUCUUUCCCUCAUUUUGUUCUCAUCCACAACACUAUCACCACAACAAUGACUCUAAGCUCUAGAGAACAGAGAACAGCGCUUCCCUUCUAAUAUGGAAAGGGUGAGUUGGUGAACAACAUUGAGCAGAGCGUGCUCGGCGCUCAGGAGUAUGUGGAGCAGGCGAAGGAUAGAAUCCCAAAAUGCAAAAAGUUGAAAAAGACAAGCAGACGGAAGAAGAUCCUGAUAGGAGGUUGUGUUGGACUAUGUCUGAUCAUCCUCAUUAUCUCCCUCGUUAUUGGACUCACUUAGGACCAUAAGAGAACCCCACAGAGCAGACAGGACCUGAUGUGAUGCACAGCACGGUACAAAGUGUUCAGGUGUUACAGUGGGUUCUGUAAUGUGCAGUCAGGAGCUGCUGCUGCAGUAAGAAAUAGGCAUUUUAUAUAUAUAUACUAUUUAUUCAUUGGAUUUAAAGAAAAUAUAUUUAAACGUAUUGUAUUGUAACGUUUUCUGGAUUUGAAAGGACUUUUCGGGAUAAGAGAUUUGGGUCCAAUCACACAGCCCCUACAGUAGAGUUGCCAUUGAGCCUUUCAUCUGAACAUUGGCUGAAUGUGAGAUAAGCCUUUUUCCGAAAUCAACUCUGGACAAUUGGGUCCGGACAUUCUCCAGAGUUUGUCUUUCACAUAAGAAGAACACAGCAAAAGAUUGUCUGGGUCAGGACAUUCGACCCAGGCAAAGUGUGGUGCCUGGGUCGAUCAUGCAGGAGUCCGAAUUUAAAUACCACCACCGAAAUCAUGUUUUUUUUAUUCAUAGCACAUCAACACCGGCGUCAGCCCUUAUCACCAAAAGCCCUGGAAUCUCUUGGUCUUUCUUUUUUCAUCCUGAGAUAUUUGUAUUCUUUUGUUUUUUCAGUUUUGGGUCCAUCCCAUAUUAGAAAUGCGCCAACUUGCUCACUGUGAAACUUGAGUUUCUCAGAUAUUUUUCCUUCUGUAUUCUCACAUGGGCUCACUCGGACAUUUUCUUGACAGUUUACUAGGUGGCCAGCAGGAAAAUGUCCGGAGCAACUGGCUCAUUUGUGUUCUCACAUACAGCCCCUCUGGAUAAUUUCAGGUGCAUGCAAUGUCAAACCUUUUCUUUGACAAAACUGAAGGAGAGUACACAGUUUAAGUUUACUCUAAAGCCACUUUGUGAAACAUUCACAGUGUAGUCCAUACACAGCUUAUUUUAAGAGCUAUCUGUCUGCGCUACCCUCUACAACCACUAGAUGUCCCUAAAAUUGAGGAUUCCUAUCUUCUACACAGUGUCUUUAAAUACCAGAGUGAGUAUGUUUGUUGCAUGUGUGAAAAUAUAUGUAUGUAAUAUAUGUUGUUUAAUGUACUCUGAACAAAAUUCAGGAACUAUAAAUGUAUGGUUUUAAAGGUAGACAAUGCAUCCAACACACACUCCAUAGGCAAACAUCACGAGAUACAUUUCUUUACUCCUUCUGCUUUUUUCUAAUCUGCAUAUUGUUCGGAAUAUUAUGAAGACUAUAAAUAUGUUAAGUCAUAUUUCUAACAUGUUUUCCUCUGCUCCCCAAAUGCUGCCACGGAUUAUCUGUUGUUAACACUGAUCAGAAGAAAAUCAUGAUUAUUAUAUGCUGUGUGGUUCUGGGGAUUGUCAUUGCUUCCAUCAUCGGGGGAACGUUGGCCUAACCCUCUGCCCCGGUUACACUGAAACACACGCACACGCACACACACACACACACGGAGCAAAAACAGAGCAGAUCUACAAUUUCCGUUUCCUGUUUUCCUGAAUGCAAUCUACAACACAUUUAGCACAAGGUGCGGUGCCUGCGGUACGAUAAACACAUUUGAAACAGUGUACAGGGCCAGAGGUGUUUUCGCAUGAUUUGCUAUUUUGUAAAUGUGCGGUGCUGCAAACUGUUUAUCUGAGUGUUUUGUGUUGUCAAAGAUAUGAUGUUUCCAAAAGUGAAUUCUUGAAUGGAACAAGUUGCUAAACGCUACAUAUCGCUAUACUAAUACAUUCCAACUUCCAAAUAUUCAGUUGUAAUGUCUACUUCGUGCUGUACAGGCAAAGUAUCAGGCCACUUAUCGGCAGUGUUUUCAAAGCCACGUUAUCUAUAGAUCUGUUUCUUUUCCCGUGUUAAUUUCCGUUAUCUUUUCUUUACCCUGUCUCGGAUGUCGUCUACCACCCUUCGAAAGCCCUGCAUGGUUUAGUUCACUGUAAAGCGGCGUUUUUUGUAUUCUGUUGUGAAAAGGGGAAGAAGACAGUCGUACUGAUGUGAGAUUUUUUGGUUUUGCUCGUAGAGUCAUCAUCACACUGCCAAACUUUUUCAAACGUCCCCUUCGUCCGGGCCUUACCAGUCGUGCAGCCUCUCUGACUGUGGCUGCGGUGUGAGUGACUGCGUGUAUGCAUGCAUCAAGUGAGCGGUGAUGAGCGUGUUUGUUUGUAGCUAAACGUGCAGAGUGCGAGUCAUGGGAUGAGAACAUGAGUGCUUGUUAAUAGUCUCCUGUUUGUUUUGUAUAAAGUGUAAACUGAUAUAUAUAUAAAAAAGCUCUCUAACACUGCCAGUAUGUUCAAAGAAGCUGUUAAAAAGGAGUCUUGUCUGGUUGGAGGUCGUACGCUUGUUGUAUUAUGUCUUUUUUUUAUAUAUAUAUAUAAACCCUGAGAUUAAAACAGAGCCCAUCUCCUGUCAAACUACUUCUGUUUAUUUGUAUGAAUGAACUUCAGUCAGUAUGAAUUCAAAGUAGCCCCGUGAAAGACUCAUCUCAGUUUUCUGGCGACUCAUCAGACCUGCACAAUGCAACCAUGUUACCAUGUUGCCUAAUCGACCUGUUGCCUUUGUGUUGUAUUGUGACGACAUGGUUAUGUUUGUUUGAUCCAAGUUGUUUUUGUUUUUUUUAAAUUUCAAGUAAAGUUCGUCUGAAAAAUCA